rnacentral:rRNA from 1 species
AGCCAUGCGAGUCAUUGUAGUAAUACAAGGCAGACGGCUCAGUAACGCGUAGUCAACCUAACCUAUGGACGGGGAUAAUCUCGGGAAACUGAGCAUAAUACCCGAUAGAACAUUAUGCCUGGAAUGGUUUAUGUUCCAAAUGAUUUAUCGCCGUAGGAUGGGACUGCGGCCUAUCAGUUUGUUGGUGAGGUAAUGGCCCACCAAGACUAUUACAGGUACGGGCUCUGAGAGGAGUGGCCCGGAGAUGGGUACUGAGACACGGACCCAGGCCCUAUGGGGCGCAGCAGGCGAGAAAACUUUGCAAUGUGCGAAAGCACGACAAGGUUAAUCCGAGUGGUUUCUGCUAAAGAGACCUUUUGUCGGUCCUAGAAACACCGAUGAAUAAGGGGUGGGCAAGUUCUGGUGUCAGCCGCCGCGGUAAAACCAGCACCUCAAGUGGUCAGGAUGAUUAUUGGGCCUAAAGCAUCCGUAGCCGGCUCUGUAAGUUUUCGGUUAAAUCUGUACGCUCAACGUACAGGCUGCCGGGAAUACUGCAGAGCUAGGGAGUGGGAGAGGUAGACGGUACUCGGUAGGAAGGGGUAAAAUCCUUUGAUCUAUUGAUGACCACCUGUGGCGAAGGCGGUCUACCAGAACACGUCCGACGGUGAGGGAUGAAAGCUGGGGGAGCAAACCGGAUUAGAUACCCGGGUAGUCCCAGCUGUAAACUAUGCAAACUCAGUGAUGCAUUGGCUUGUGGCCAAUGCAGUGCUGCAGGGAAGCCGUUAAGUUUGCCGCCUGGGAAGUACGUACGCAAGUAUGAAACUUAAAGGAAUUGGCGGGG